rnacentral:rRNA from 1 species
UACAGGGGGGGCAAGCGUUAUUCGGAAUUAUUGGGCGUAAAGGGCGCGUAGGCGGCUUGGCAAGUGGAUGGUGAAAUCCCUCGGCUUAACCGAGGAACUGCCGUCCAAACUGCUUUGCUUGAGACCGGGAGAGGUGAGUGGAAUUCCCAGUGUAGCGGUGAAAUGCGUAGAUAUUGGGAGGAACACCAGUGGCGAAGGCGGCUCACUGGACCGGUACUGACGCUGAUGCGCGAAAGCGUGGGGAGCAAACAGG